GACGAACGCUGGCGGCGUGCUUAACACAUGCAAGUCGAACGAUGAACCCGGAGCUUGCUCUGGGGGAUUAGUGGCGAACGGGUGAGUAACACGUGAGUAACCUGCCCUGGACUCUGGGAUAAGCGUUGGAAACGACGUCUAAUACCGGAUAGGACCUUGGAUCGCAUGAUCUGGGGUGGAAAGUUUUUUCGGUCUGGGAUGGACUCGCGGCCUAUCAGCUUGUUGGUGAGGUAAUGGCUCACCAAGGCGUCGACGGGUAGCCGGCCUGAGAGGGUGACCGGCCACACUGGGACUGAGAAACGGCCGAGACUACUACGGGAGGCAGCAGUGGGGAAAAUUGCACAAUGGGCGAAAGCAUGAUGAAGAAACGCCGCGUGCGGGAUGACGGACUUCGGGUUGUAAACAGCUUUUAGUAGGGAAGAAGGGCUUCGGCUUGACGGUACCUGCAGAAAAAGGACCGGCUAACUACGUG
rnacentral:rRNA from 1 species